rnacentral:rRNA from 1 species
AUGAACGCUGGCGGCGUGCUUAACACAUGCAAGUCGAACGAUUAAAGCUCACUUCGGUGAGUGUAUAGAGUGGCGAACGGGUGAGUAACACGUGGGAAACCUGCCCCUUUCUUCGGGAUAACUUCGGGAAACCGUUGCUAAUACCGGAUACUCCGGGAUGGUCGCAUGGCCGACCCGGGAAAGCUUUAUGUGGAAAAGGGAUGGUCCCGCGGCCCAUUAGCUUGUUGGUGGGGUAAUGGCCUACCAAGGCGAUGAGUGGGUAGCCG